rnacentral:rRNA from 1 species
UCGCCUUUGGAUGAGCCCGCGUUGGAUUAGCUAGUUGGUGGGGUAACGGCCUACCAAGGCGACGAUCCAUAGCUGAUCUGAGAGGAUGAUCAGCCACACUGGGACUGAGACACGGCCCAG